UGUCUAUGUAGUAUAUAAAUUACACUACCUUUUCGAGGUGGAAAAGAAUUAUUAAUUCUUUAGAUA
rnacentral:tRNA from 1 species